rnacentral:rRNA from 1 species
UUUUUAUUGAGAGUUUGAUCCUGGCUCAGGACGAACGGUUGCGGCGUGCCUUACACCUGGAAGUCGGG